GAACUGUCUAUAAAAUGUCUACACGAGAUAAUUCGCCACUUUAUUCCGAGUCUUUAAACACAAAAAUAGCCUAAAUAUCGUCACACUUUUUGUAGUCGAAAAAUAUAAACUAGAACGUUCAAACAACGUUUUGUCGCCCGCGCGACUAUUUCAGCGGUCAUGAUAACAAGUACUUCAUAUAAUAAUAUCGUUCGUUAACAUCCCCCUCCCGAAUGCAACGCAUUCGAUUCCACUUAAAGACAAUAAAUAGAGGGAUUAGCAAUGUCAAUGAAUACUAACAAAUACGACUUAAUUAACGUCCUUUAUGUUCACUUCUAUAUAACGUUUCAGUUAUCUAUGUUCAUUAUGAUAAUACACUAUCACAUAUUUUGGAGAAACAUGCCCC